UGCCAGCCGCCGCGGUAAUACGUAGGUGGCAAGCGUUAUUCGGAAUUAUUGGGCGUAAAGGGCGCGCAGGCGGUCUUGUCCGUCAGGUGUGAAAGCUCGGGGCUCAACCCCGGAAGUGCACUUGAAACAGCAAGACUUGAAUACUGGAGAGGAAAGCGGAAUUCCUGGUGUAGAGGUGAAAUUCGUAGAUAUCAGGAGGAACACCGAUGGCGAAGGCAGCUUUCUGGACAGAUAUUGACGCUGAGGCGCGAAGGCGUGGGUAGCGAACGGGAUUAGAUA
rnacentral:rRNA from 1 species